rnacentral:rRNA from 1 species
UCGCGAAAACUUCGCAAUGGGGGCAACCCCGACGAGGGAAUUCCAAGUGCUAGCACUUUGUGUUAGCUGUUCUUCUGUCUAAAAAACAGGAGGAGUAAGGGGCGGGUAAGACGGGUGCCAGCCGCCGCGGUAAUACCCGCGCCCCAAGUGGUGGUCGAUAUUAUUGAGCCUAAAACGUCCGUAGCCGGUCUUCUAAAUCCUUGGGUAAAUCGGGCAGCUUAACUGUCCGAAGUCCGGGGAGACUGGGAGACUUGGGACCGGGAGAGGUCAGAGGUACUUCUGGGGUAGGGGUAAAAUCCUGUAAUCCUGGAAGGACCACCGGUGGCGAAGGCGUCUGACUAGAACGGAUCCGACGGUGAGGGACGAAGCCCUGGGGCGCAAACGGGAUUAGAAACCCCG